GACAGAGGUGCCAAGCGUUAGGCGGAAUCACUGGGCUUAAAGCGUGUGUAGGCGGGUCGUUAAGUGUCUUGUGAAAUCCCCCGGCUCAACCGGGGAAUGGCUGGGCAUACUGGCGAUCUUGAGCAGUCUAGGGGCAGAUGGAACAAGUGGUGGAGCGGUGAAAUGCGUAGAUAUCACUUGGAACGCCAAAGGUGAAAACAGUCUGCUGGGGACUUGCUGACGCUGAGACACGAAAGCCAGGGGAGCGAACGGG
rnacentral:rRNA from 1 species